rnacentral:lncRNA from 1 species
AUGGUUUAUCUCUCGUUUUACCAGCGACUUAUGUGCACAGUAGUGUCGAUAAGUAUCGUCAGAGGCACCAUCUUUAAAAAAGUCAAAUUCGAAGGAGGUGACACAGUGAUUGUCCCACUAAUCCCUAUACCGUUUGGACCGCUGAUUGGCCCCUACCAUAAAGUGUUCGCCCUAUCGAGAACAGAACUGCUUCAGCUGAAUCCCUCUCGCGGCAACAUCUGGAAGACUGAGAUUAAGAUAGUGGGUCGAGACUUUUACAAGUUCCCCGAACGCUACCAGCCAGCCGCUGCAAUUAAGCCGGAUCCUACAAGGCAACCAAUCGGCCAAAAAGGCAUCCUUCUGGCUCGAAGAUUAGCGGGACUCCACUUGCCUUAUCACUCGUUUACGUGUAACUGCUACCAUUACACUGAUUACUUGACCUACGGGAGGACCUUCGGCAAGAAGUGGUCCACGUAUCCCCCCGUCAGCGAUGCUUGCCCGCUCCACCGGAGGAUAGAUUCCACUACUAAUGUUAUUUCCAGGAGCUUUCAGUUGGAGGACAAAAAGAAGAAUAAGUAUCAGCUUAAGUCCCUCAGGUUCCAGGAUUUCCUUGCAGUGAAAGAGUUUUGAAGUGAUAUAAAGUCUGUGAUGUACAGUCUGUGAUAUACAAUCUGUGAUAUACAGUCUGUGAUAUACAGGGUGAUCCAAAAGUCCCUUCCACCCCCUCUAACUUUUUACCUAAUUGAGGUAAAGAUUUGAAACUUGGGGGAUGUUCCUAGGUCAAAAGGAGCUACUUUUUGGCCCCCCUAAAAUUUUCAGGGGGCCCCCCUUGGGGGGCAACGGACCCCAACUUUUAAUUUUCAAAUAGGAAGACCCCCUUUGUGAUAGCUCGUUCGAAAGAGCAUAAAAAAAGAAAACUUUUCGCGCAAACCCGAAGUCAAUACCUCAAACCUUUUCAAAAUGGCGGCCGGUUAAAGUUCAAAAUGGCCGAAAACUCACACCGGUUAUUUGUCGAUGGAUUUGCGCGAAAAUCGGUAUGUAUAGGGAUUUUGACACGAGAAAAACGAAUUUGACGUUAGAUUUUCAAAAAAACCGAAAUUUCCGAAAUGGCCGCCGGUUAAAGUUCAUAAUGACCAAAAAUUUAUUUCUUUGGAAAUCUAAGUUCAAAUGUGUUAAUCUUAUGCCAAAAUACUCUCAAAUUUCAAAUUUUAGGCAAAUCCAUCGGCAAAAAACCGAGGUGACAAUUUUCGGCCAUUUUAAACUUUAACCGGCGGCCAUUUCGGAAAUUUCGGUUUUUUUGAAAAUCUAACGUCAAAUUCGUUUUUCUCGUGUCAAAAUCCCCUUACAUACCGAUUUUCGCGCAAAUCCAUCGACAAAUAACCGGUGUGAGUUUUCGGCCAUUUUGAACUUUAACCGGCCGCCAUUUUGAAAAGGUUUGAGGUAUUGACUUCGGGUUUGCGCGAAAAGUUUUCUUUUUUAUGCUCUUUCGAACGAGCUAUCACAAAGGGGGUCUUCCUAUUUGAAAAUUAAAAGUUGGGGUCCGUUGCCCCCCAAGGGGGGCCCCCUGAAAAUUUUAGGGGGGCCAAAAAGUAGCUCCUUUUGACCUAGGAACAUCCCCCAAGUUUCAAAUCUUUACCUCAAUUAGGUAAAAAGUUAGAGGGGGUGGAAGGGACUUGUGGAUCACCCUGUACAGUAUCUGAUAUAUGGAUCAUAUUUUGCAAUAAGGAUCCACUAUCUCUGGCUCUUCCAUAAAAGCACCUUCUUGCAUAGGGAAACCAGUGGCAUAUACUUUGUAUCUAAAAUGAGCCAAAAAUAGUGGCUCCCCAUUGCAAAAAUGUGGUCCAUAUAGUCUCUGCUGUUACAAGUUGUCCUAUCGAUACGGGGAAGAUUCCAUGAAAUAAUACUGACUAUAAAAAUGACUCAUGCUCACUCAUUUACCUCAUCCAUUUAUCUCAUCAAAAGUGCUCCUAGGUAUACAUUGCGUGCUUUUAAUAAACAACAAUCCAUUCAAAUUCCACACCGAUUUCAUAAUCAACGCGGAUUGCUAGCAGCGCCUGGAUUCUUCAGUCUACAUUAAAUAUCGAUAUUAUCGAUAUAACUUCGAUCGAUAAAUUACAUUACUGGGAUCGGGUUUUAUGGAUGGAGAUCUAUCGAUAGAAAUUCAAAAAUCGAUCCGCUGGCGGACGUGACGCGGGUUCGGUUUCGCGUUCAAUCUUUCUCUAUUGUCUGGCUGCUCGGUUCAUUUAGAAUUGGAUCAAUGUUUGAAAGAAGUACUUCGGAGAUUGCAACCUUAGGGCUCAAGAGAGUUAAAGUCUCUCACGGCAUGAUUGAAAACUUCAAAAGAGAAUUUGCAGGUGUCUGAAAUUUUGUGAAUUUCAUCUUCAAAAGGAAACUGCUAAGAGAACUGAGUACGAGGAUGUCCUUGGUUUCUAAAUUGGACAAUUAUUCGAGAAAAUACGAACAAAAUACCCUAAUCUGCUAAAAUACAUGCGUUUAAAUGAAAAACGCCGCCGGAUGACGUCAUAACUCAUAAGGCGGUAAAUUUUCACACUUUUAAAUCCAUUUUUCUCCAAUUUCCCAUGUUAGACACAAAUUUAUGAAAAAUACUGCGAAAUCAGCUCAUUAGGCGCUUUCAGAUGAAGCAAUUAAAUUUUUGCGUGCAAAUUCUUCAUUCUCACUAAAGUAUUCUUAAUAAGAUACAAAAUCCAACUUGCUUUAGAUUUUAUACGAAAAUUAAAACGUAGAAGAAAAUAAAGUUAAAAAAAAAACUUAACGCCCAUUUUGAGCAACGAUAAAGGUUACUGAGGUGAUAUUUGUGAGUAUAUAUAUUAUCGAAUCCGGAUUGUUUUCAUCUCGAGUCUCGAUAUGAUGUGUUAAUUACUUCAAGUUUGAUUAUCUGCGCUGGCCGAGGUGGUCUCCGGCCAGGCGCGCGCUCUGCAUGGAAACAGGAACUUGAGCCAGAAGUACCUCACUAAGUAUGAACCGCGUUCAGAGUAGCCGAAUUUUGAAGUGAAACUGCAUACCUUAAUCGAGCUGUGUGGAGAAAAGAGCUAAUUUCCAGCACGUUCUGGCAACCACGAUCGCGUAGCUCCAAUGGAAACCCUACGUACAUAAGUGGUUUUUCCGCAGCCGACAGAGAAGUAGAUGAGUUAUGGUUCAGCUUCGGCCAGCGAGUCAUUAGGAAACGAGCGCAGCCACGAGCGACAAAGCCAAAUUGCCCUGAAAAUACCCCCAAAUAUCCCGAGGAAAUUUAAGUUUAGAAUAUAUUCGGCAAUAGUGAGGGAAUCAAGAUGUUCGAUUCUUUCGCGCCUCGAACUAUAUCACAAGAUGCAACUAUAUGUUUGACGAACAUUCGUCCGCGAUUCGCCUGAAUUCCUCACCGAUGUUGCCAACUUUAGCGUGUUUGACUGUCCUUAAAAAAAGAAACUUCAGGCGAUUA